rnacentral:rRNA from 1 species
AAUGAACGCUGGCGGCAUGCCUAACACAUGCAAGUCGAACGAGACCUGCGGGUCUAGUGCCGCAUGGGUUUGUAACGGGUGGGAACCUGCCUAUAGGUUUGGAAUAACUCAGAGAAAAUUGUGCUAACACCGGAUGUAGUCUUCGGACCAAAGAUUUUUCGCCCUUAGAUGGGCCCGCGUGGGAUUAGCUGGUUGGGGGGGUAAAGGCCUACCAAGGCGACGAUCCAUAGCUGGGCAGUGAGGAUGCUCAGCCACUCUGGGAUUGAGACACAGCCCAGACUCCUGCGGGAGGCGGCAAAGGGGUAUAUUGGAAAGUGGAGGAAGUCAUGAAGGUCCUCUGCCGGGUGAGUGCUGAAAGCCUUAGGGUUGUAAAGCUCUUUUACCCGAGAUGAUAAUGACAGUAUCGGAAGAAUAAGCUCCGGCUAACUCCGUG